rnacentral:tRNA from 1 species
GGCGGGAUUCCCGAGCGGUCAAAGGGGACGGACUGUAAAUCCGUUGGCUCAGCCUUCGCAGGUUCGAAUCCUGCUCCCGCCAC